rnacentral:rRNA from 1 species
AUUGAACGCUGGCGGCAGGCCUAACACAUGCAAGUCGAGCGGAGCGGCGGACGGGUGAGUAAUGCCAAGGAAUCUGCCUGGUCGUGGGGGAUAACGUCCGGAAACGGGCCCUAAUACCGCAUACUCUCCGAUCAGCCUAGGUCGGAUUAGCUAGUUGGUGGGGUAAAGGCCUACCAAGGCGACGAUCCGUAACUGGUCUGAGAGGAUGAUCAGUCACACUGGAACUGAGACACGGUCCAGACUCCUACGGGAGGCAGCAGUGGGGAAUAUUGCACAAUGGGCGAAAGCCUGAUGCAGCCAUGCCGCGUGUGUGAAGAAGGUCUUCGGAUUGUAAAGCACUUUAAGUUGGGAGGCGUUACCAACAGAAUAAGCACCGGCUAACUCCGUGCCAGCAGCCGCGGUAAUAC